rnacentral:rRNA from 1 species
CGUCUAUAUACGUAUAGCAUAUCAAUAAGCGGAGGAAAAGAAACUAACUAGGAUUCCCUUAGUAACGGCGAGUGAAGCGGGAAGAGCUCAAAUUUGAAAUCUUCAAGGUUUUACCUUGACGAAUUGUAGUUUAAAGAAGUGUUUUCUGUUGGAGUUUUGGUAAAAGUUCUUUGGAAUAGGACAUCAUAGAGGGUGAGAAUCCCGUAUUUGACCAUUAUUUCCAACUUUGUGAUACACUUUCAAAGAGUCGGAUUGUUUGGGAAUGCAGUCCAAAAUGGGUGGUAAAUUUCAUCUAAAGCUAAAUACUGGCGAGAGACCGAUAGCGAACAAGUACCGUGAGGGAAAGAUGAAAAGAACUUUGAAAAGAGAGUUAAACAGUACGUGAAAUUGUCAAAAGGGAAGCGUUUGACACCAGUGUUGUUUUCUCGAAAAUCAAUUAAAAAUGGUGGGAUUUUGUGUUGUAUUGACUUUAUCAGCUUUCUGCACUUUUUUCCUAUCUUUUUUAAUGCACUUUUCGUUUAACAAGUCAACAUCAAUUUCUUUUGUUGUAAAAGAGUCAUUGGAAGGUGGCUUUCUUUUCGGAGAAAGUGUUUAUAGCCUUUGACUUCUGCAAUCGGAGAGAUUGAGGUCUGCAGCGUAGAUCCUUCGGGGUUAGAUAGCAUUUGUGCUAAGUUAUAGCCUUUCAUAGACAACUUGUUGACUAUGAUCAGUCAUGUAGCUUACUCGCUUAUGUUAUUUUACCUACGCUUAGGAUGUUGACGAUCAGCUGAGCGCG